rnacentral:rRNA from 1 species
GAUGAACGCUGGCGGCGUGCUUAACACAUGCAAGUCGAACGGAAAGGCUCCUGCUUGCAGGGGUACUCGAGUGGCGAACGGGUGAGUAACACGUGGGUGAUCUGCCCUGCACUUCGGGAUAAGCCUGGGAAACUGGGUCUAAUACCGGAUAGGACGAUGGUUUGGAUGCCAUUGUGGAAAGUUUUUUCGGUGUGGGAUGAGCUCGCGGCCUAUCAGCUUGUUGGUGGGGUAAUGGCCUACCAAGGCGUCGACGGGUAGCCGACAUGAGAGGGGGGACGGCCUCAAUGGGACUGGGAGACGGACCAGUCUGCUACGGGAGGCAGCAGUGGCGAAUAUGGCACAAUGGGCGGACGUCUGAUGCAGCGACGCCGCGUGGGGGAAGACGGCCUUCGUGUUGUAAACUCCUUUCGCUAGGGACGAGGCGCAAGUGACGGUACCAGGAGAAGAAGCACCGGCUAACUACGUG